rnacentral:rRNA from 1 species
UACGGGGGGGGCAAGCGUUGUUCGGAAUUACUGGGCGUAAAGCGUGCGUAGGUGGUUUGUUAAGUCUGAUGUGAAAGCCCUGGGCUCGACCUGGGAAUUGCAUUGGAUACUGGCAGGCUAGAGUGCGGUAGAGGAUGGCGGAAUUCCCGGUGUAGCAGUGAAAUGCGUAGAGAUCGGGAGGAACAUCUGUGGCGAAGGCGGCCAUCUGGACCAGCACUGACACUGAGGCACGAAAGCGUGGGGAGCAAACAGG